rnacentral:rRNA from 1 species
UACGGAGGGGGCUAGCGUUGUUCGGAAUUACUGGGCGUAAAGCGCGCGUAGGCGGACCUGCAAGUCGGGGGUGAAAGCCCGAGGCUCAACCUCGGAACUGCCUUCGAUACUGCGGGUCUCGAGUCCGGGAGAGGUGAGUGGAAUUCCUAGUGUAGAGGUGAAAUUCGUAGAUAUUAGGAAGAACACCAGUGGCGAAGGCGGCUCACUGGCCCGGUACUGACGCUGAGGCACGAAGGCCAGGGGAGCGAACGGG